rnacentral:rRNA from 1 species
UUGGAGGGCAAGUCUGGUGCCAGCAGCCGCGGUAAUUCCAGCUCCAAUAGCGUAUAUUAAAGUUGUUGCAGUUAAAAAGCUCGUAGUUGAAUUUCGGGGUUAGUAGGCUGGUCGUGCCACCGGUACGUACUGGUCUUUCUGAUUCCUCCUUCCUGAUGAACUGUAAUGCCAUUAAUUGGUGUUGCAGGGAAUCUGGACUGUUACUUUAGAAAAACUUAGAGUGUUUAAAGCAGGCUAACGCUUAGAAUACAUUAGC